AUUGAACGCUGGCGGCAGGCCUAACACAUGCAAGUCGAACGGCAGCGGGGGAUAGCUUGCUAUCCUGCCGGCGAGUGGCGGACGGGUGAGUAAUGCAUGGGGAGCUGCCCAAUCGAGGGGGAUAACAACUGGAAACGGUUGCUAAUACCGCAUACGCCCUGCGGGGGAAAGGUGGGGACCUUCGGGCCUACCGCGAUUGGAUGCACCCAUGUGGGAUUAGCUGGUUGGUGAGGUAACGGCUCACCAAGGCGACGAUCUCUAGCUGGUCUGAGAGGAUGACCAGCCAAACUGGAACUGAGACACGGUCCAGACUCCUACGGGAGGCAGCAGUGGGGAAUAUUGCACAAUGGGGGAAACCCUGAUGCAGCCAUGCCGCGUGUGUGAAGAAGGCCUUCGGGUUGUAAAGCACUUUCAGUGGGGAGGAAGGGUUGAUGACUAAUAUUCAUCAGCAUUGACGUUACCCACAGAAGAAGCACCGGCUAACUCCGUGCCAGCAGCCGCCGUAAGAC
rnacentral:rRNA from 1 species